AGCCCCGAGGUGUUCGUCAUGUAGGAUUGCAAAUCUUAAGGAGCAGACUAGAGAUCUGCCGGGGCUU
rnacentral:tRNA from 1 species